rnacentral:rRNA from 1 species
UGAAUGAGUAGCGAGAUUUAAGUGAGAAUCUUAAAGGCCGAAUAUCUAAGGCUUCCAGGGUAAAGCUGAUCUUCCCUGGGUAAGUCGGGGCCUAAGGCGAGGGCGAGAGCCGUAGUCGAUGGAUAACAGGUUGAAAUUCCUGUACUGCUUAUGGACAGAACUGUGGGGACGCAGAAGGAGAGCACGAGCCGGAAAUGGAAAAGCCGGUACAAGCGUAUAGCAGUCAUGCAGGCAAAACCGCAUGAAAAAUGUAAAGCGUUAUGUGGAUCGAACAUUAGUAGAGAAGCGUGUGAGCCAGCUGCCAAGAAAAGCCGCUAUUGCUUCAUAAGUACCCGUACCGUAAACCGACACAGGUGGAUGAGGAGAGAAUCCUAAGGCCGGCGGGAGAAGUGUUGUUAAGGAACUCGGCAAAAUGACUCCGUAACUUCGGGAGAAGGAGUGCCACAGAGAUGUGGCCGCAGAGAAAUGGCCCAAGCAACUGUUUAGCAAAAACACAGGUCUAUGCAAAACCGAAAGGUGAGGUAUAUGGGCUGACGCCUGCCCGGUGCUGGAAGGUUAAGAGGAGAGGUUAGAGCAAUCGAAGCUUUGAAUUUAAGCCCCAGUAAACGGCGGCCGUAACAAUAACGGUCCUAAGGUAGCGAAAUUCCUUGUCGGGUAAGUUCCGACCCGCACGAAAGGCGUAAUGAUUUGGGCACUGUCUCAACAACACACCCGGUGAAAUUGAAAUACCAGUGAAGAUGCUGGUUACCUGCGCCAGGACGGAAAGACCCCAUGGAGCUUUACUCCAGUUUGAUACUGGGAUUCGGUACUGUCUGUACAGGAUAGGUGGGAGGCUAGGAAAUGGUGACGCCAGUUGCCAUGGAGCCAACCUUGGGAUACCACCCUUACAGUACUGGGUUUCUAACCUGCAGCCGUAACCCGGCUGGGGGACAAUGUCUGACGGGGAGUUUGACUGGGGCGGUCGCCUCCGAAAGAGUAUCGGAGGCGCUCAAAGGUUCCCUCAGAACGGUUGGAAACCGUUCGAAGAGUGCAAAGGCAGAAGGGAGCUUGACUGCGACACCGACGGGUGGAGCAGAUACGAAAGUAGGACUUAGUGAUCCGGUGGUAUAAAGUGGGAUUGCCAUCGCUCAACGGAUAAAAGCUACCUGGGAUAACAGGCUUAUCACUCCCAAGAGUUCACAUCGACGGAGUGGUUUGGCACCUCGAUGUCGGCCCAUCGCAUCCUGGAGCUGUAGCAGGUUCCAAGGGUUGGGCUGUUCGCCCAUUAAAGCGGUACGCGAGCUGGGUUCAGAACGUCGUGAGACAGUUCGGUCCCUAUCCGGCGUGGGCGUAGGAUAUUUGAGAGGAGCUGUCCUUAGUACGAGAGGACCGGGAUGGACAAACCUCUGGUGUAUCUGUUGUUUUACCAAAGGCAUGGCAGAGUAGCCAAGUUUGGCAGGGAUAAACGCUGAAGGCAUCUAAGCGUGAAGCCCCCCUCAAGAUAAGAUAUCCCAUCUUCGGAGUAAGACCCCUUGAAGACUACAAGGUUGAUAGGCUUUGUGUGUAAGUGCGGUAACGCACUCAGCUGAGAAGUACUAAUAGGUCGAGGACUUACCA